GCUAAGAUGGUUUAUCAGCUACUGGAUCUGCCACUUCUUCAGUCACCUUUUCAAGGACCAGUUACUGAUCCCCUGUCACAUCAGUGAUCUUGAGGGAAAGGAGAUGACAUUUGUCUGAAAGGCUGGCUUUAUUUUGGAAAUGGCAGCUGUUUGGAACUGUUGACAGAUUGGGAGUGUUAGAAAUUGUCCCAGGCCAGACGGAUUACUAUCUGGGUCCAGGUGAAUAGGUCAAAAGUACUUUAUAAAUGAUGGCAUCUAUUCCCACGUAGCUAUCACCACUAUGGAGUAGUAUAGGUAACAGCUAUUUUUAUAACAUGUAAUUGAGUUAUUUUGGAGCAGUCCCACACAGGUCAGGCGAAUGUAUUUUUUUAUCAUCUUCCUCUCCUUUUGCUGCAGAAAUUGCAGUAACUUGAGACAUUUCUAGUACUAUUCCUAAUUUAAUUAGGAUGGGCUGAAGGCAAGAUAUGUAGGGAGGGGUGGUAGAGAAAUUGCUCUUUCAGUCAGGAAAUCACAUUCAGUCUUUUUCUUUCUGCUAUUUCCUGUGACCUGGAUACAUUGAUGUGUUUUAUAGUCAUGCUGUAAGAAAUUUUUUCAAGGAACAGGAACGAAUCAACCAAAUUAGAACUAGAAAACUAGGAUUUUCACCUAUUCAUGAGAGCUUGAAACUUUCACUUCUUGCACUCUAUUCUGCUGCAUUUUAUUUAUAUUAUCAUGCAUUUUUCCAAAGAACAAGUAAAUUUCAAUUUAAUUUUAAAUGGAUGUAAAAGAAAAUGGAGAAAGCCUUCUCACUUUAAUUUAGUCAAUUGAAUAUAUUAUAGAAAUAAAAAUAUUUGAGGUUAUGAAUUUUUUAAGGUGUUUGGAUUGAACAAAUACCCACAAACAGUGUGAAAACCGCAAAGUCUUGUUUUGUCCUACAGUGUCCCUCAACUCCUUGAUGGCCUUAAAUACGUCUCAGAAGCACAAGUUAAAGCCUCAUCUCCCUCACUAGUCUCCACUUGUGCAAAAAUCCUUGGAAAUGCUCGACAGAAAACUCUAUCAAGCCUUGCCUGUUUCCACACAGAUAGCAGAGCUUCUUUUGUGAAUAGUUCCCUGGAAUUCAGUUCCAAACCAUGUGUCAGCAGAAAAGCUCUAGUUUUCAAGUUUUCAGGAAUAUGUCCUCCCCUCCUCUUACUACACAGGUGACAAAAUUGUUUUAAACCUCAUCCAUAAUUGUUCUGAAUCAGAGCAUGUCAAAUGAGCUGUGAUGUAACAACUGCUAUAGCAACUAUUCAUUUUGAUUCAAAACCUGAAAUAAACUGCUGACACAUCAUAUCUUACA
rnacentral:lncRNA from 1 species